GGAGAGGUGCGAGAACGGCUAAUCGGUACGCCUGGAAAGCGUAUGCCCUUCGGGGCUUGCAGGUUCGAGUCCUGUCCUCUCCG
rfam:Microgenomates (Roizmanbacteria) bacterium GW2011_GWC2_41_7 TT78_C0002, whole genome shotgun sequence.